UGAGCAGAACAGUCCAUGCAUUGUGCUGGUAACUGAAAGGUUGGCAUUUUGAGACCACCUAGGGGCAGAUCCUUCACUCUUUUCACCCUGCUUAUGUUCCUGGGAUUCUUCUGAUGAAGUGGGAGUAUCUUUCAAGAUUUCAGUUCAAGUCCCACCUGUUGUGGAGAUGCUUUAUAAAAGCAGCACAGUGAACAGUUUCACAAGGAUGAAAGAACAUAGACUGUAGUCUGAAGAACACAACAAGAGGUAGCACAGUAGAUCACCAUAAGUUGUAAGCCUGUGGUCCAAAGAGUUCCUGCUGCCUUUGAAUGUGAGAUGCCAGGAUUGCGGCAGCGAAGCUUCCUACUGUGACACGUUUGGAAGAUGAGCUGUCACUUAGAAGCUGCAGCUAAUAAUUUAUCAUGUGUGGGAUUAAGGUUACAAUACGGCUGCGGUGGAUGAUGGUUUUCUUUUUAAGCUGUCGGUCAUGCGUAUGUGUUAACUUCCUUUUCAGACAGUGUCAUUGCACCAAAUGUUAUUACAUGUUAUACAGUAGUGUGCUCUCAAACCUAUAUCUCCUGCCCCUAGUAUUAAGUCAAUGAAAGUGUUUAAUGUCUAAGUUUCAGGACUCUGUUAUUAGAUAUGUGGGUGUGGACAGGAUCUGUCUUAACCCUGAGCUUGUGCACUCUAUCGGCAAUAAAGCACUUAAUCUUCAAAUGGAACCUACGUUUCAUAUGCUUCAGCUUUCAUUACUUUCCAACAAUCAUCUUAGUCAACAUGCCAAAGGUUAUAAGUGUUCUCUCACUCAACAACUUCUCUGCUGAAGCAUAUAUUCUCUGCACCGUUUUUUAACUCUUAUGAUACUUUGUCCUCUGUUAAAGCUGAGGUUAUUUUCUCACUAAUGCCUGAUGGCCUGUC